rnacentral:lncRNA from 1 species
GCCCAUCCAUCUGGCAGAGAAAGGGAUGCUCAGGACACAGAACAGCCAUGCUACAUUAACAAGACUUCUGUGAGCACCAACUUUGGAUGAGGUCUACUCUCUACAGAGGUCUCUGGCAACCUCACCACCUGCAGCUCCUUGCCCUCAUGCAGCACUUCCUGAGAGGCAGAGACAUGGACUAGGAGAAACCUGAGAGACAUGCUCUCGCUCUACUCCUCAGGCUGGAGUGCAGUGGCACAAUCACAGCUCAGUGUAAUCUUGAACUCCUGGGCUCAAGAGAUCUUCCUGCCUUAGCCUGCGGGGUAGCCAGGACUACAGGUAUGCACCACUACAUCCAGCUGAGAACAUGCAGUCCUGCUAGGAUGUAAUGAAAAUGGUACUUUACCUUGGUGGUAUUCCUCCAAAAAACAUACAACUCCAGGCUAACCAUGAGAAAA